UGAAGAAAUUCAACCAAGCGCGGGU
rnacentral:snRNA from 1 species